rnacentral:misc_RNA from 1 species
AAGUCGUAACAAGGUUUCCGUAGGUGAACCUGCGGAAGGAUCAUUAUAGAGGUUUAUCCUUUUCCUGUGAACUUAUUAUCUGGCAUUGAAGUUUAGCAUGAGCUGAUCUGAUCUCAACUUCGAUUGAGGUCAGCCAGCAACGACGGCAACCACUUCGAUGCCAAAAUCUUUACACCAUAUAACGUCUGAAGAAAAUGAAAUGAAAAAAC